AAAUUGAAGAGUUUGAUCAUGGCUCAGAUUGAACGCUGGCGGCAGGCCUAACACAUGCAAGUCGAGCGGUAGCACAGAGAGCUUGCUCUCGGGUGACGAGCGGCGGACGGGUGAGUAAUGUCUGGGAAACUGCCUGAUGGAGGGGGAUAACUACUGGAAACGGUAGCUAAUACCGCAUAAUGUCGCAAGACCAAAGUGGGGGACCUUCGGGCCUCAUGCCAUCAGAUGUGCCCAGAUGGGAUUAGCUAGUAGGUGGGGUAACGGCUCACCUAGGCGACGAUCCCUAGCUGGUCUGAGAGGAUGACCAGCCACACUGGAACUGAGACACGGUCCAGACUCCUACGGGAGGCAGCAGUGGGGAAUAUUGCACAAUGGGCGCAAGCCUGAUGCAGCCAUGCCGCGUGUGUGAAGAAGGCCUUCGGGUUGUAAAGCACUUUCAGCGGGGAGGAAGGCGGUGAGGUUAAUAACCUCAUCGAUUGACGUUACCCGCAGAAGAAGCACCGGCUAACUCCGUGCCAGCAGCCGCGGUAAUACGGAGGGUGCAAGCGUUAAUCGGAAUUACUGGGCGUAAAGCGCACGCAGGCGGUCUGUCAAGUCGGAUGUGAAAUCCCCGGGCUCAACCUGGGAACUGCAUUCGAAACUGGCAGGCUAGAGUCUUGUAGAGGGGGGGUAGAAUUCCAGGUGUAGCGGUGAAAUGCGUAGAGAUCUGGAGGAAUACCGGUGGCGAAGGCGGCCCCCUGGACAAAGACUGACGCUCAGGUGCGAAAGCGUGGGGAGCAAACAGGAUUAGAUACCCUGGUAGUCCACGCCGUAAACGAUGUCGAUUUGGAGGUUGUGCCCUUGAGGCGUGGCUUCCGGAGCUAACGCGUUAAAUCGACCGCCUGGGGAGUACGGCCGCAAGGUUAAACUCAAAUGAAUUGACGGGGGCCCGCACAAGCGGUGGAGCAUGUGGUUUAAUUCGAUGCAACGCGAAGAACCUUACCUGGUCUUGACAUCCACAGAACUUUCCAGAGAUGGAUUGGUGCCUUCGGGAACUGUGAGACAGGUGCUGCAUGGCUGUCGUCAGCUCGUGUUGUGAAAUGUUGGGUUAAGUCCCGCAACGAGCGCAACCCUUAUCCUUUGUUGCCAGCGGUUAGGCCGGGAACUCAAAGGAGACUGCCAGUGAUAAACUGGAGGAAGGUGGGGAUGACGUCAAGUCAUCAUGGCCCUUACGACCAGGGCUACACACGUGCUACAAUGGCAUAUACAAAGAGAAGCGACCUCGCGAGAGCAAGCGGACCUCAUAAAGUAUGUCGUAGUCCGGAUUGGAGUCUGCAACUCGACUCCAUGAAGUCGGAAUCGCUAGUAAUCGUAGAUCAGAAUGCUACGGUGAAUACGUUCCCGGGCCUUGUACACACCGCCCGUCACACCAUGGGAGUGGGUUGCAAAAGAAGUAGGUAGCUUAACCUUCGGGAGGGCGCUUACCACUUUGUGAUUCAUGACUGGGGUGAAGUCGUAACAAGGUAACCGUAGGGGAACCUGCGGUUGGAUCACCUCCUUACCUUAAAGAA
rnacentral:rRNA from 1 species